CAAUAGCGUAUAUUAAAGUUGUUGCAGUUAAAAAGCUCGUAGUUGGAUUUCUGGUAGGAGUGACCGUUCCGAACUUGAUUGUUCGUGUAUUGUGUUUUCUCAAGCCAUCCUUGUGGAGAACUUUUCUUGCAUUAAUUUGUAGGGAUUGGGACCCGCAUCGUUUACUGUGAAAAAAUUAGAGUGUUUAAAGCAGGCAAUCGCUUGAAUACAUUAGCAUGGAAUAAUAAGAUAGGACUUUGGUACUAUUUUGUUGGUUUGCAUACCAAAUUAAUGAUCAACAGGAACAGUUUGAGGAUAUUCGUAUGAACAUGUCAGAGGUGAAAUUCUUGGAUUUUGAUCAGACGAACUACUGCGAAAGCAUUUAUCAAGGAUGUUUUCAUUAA
rnacentral:rRNA from 1 species